rnacentral:rRNA from 1 species
AUUGAACGCUGGCGGCAGGCCUAACACAUGCAAGUCGAACGAGUGGCGAACGUGUGAGCAAGGUCUGGGAAACUGCCUGAUGGCGGGGGAUAACUACCGGACACGAUAGCUAAUACCGCAUACCAUCGGAUGUGCCCAGAUGGGAGUAGCUAGUAGGUGGGGUAAAGGAUCACCUAGGCGACGAGCCCUAGCUGGUCUGAGAGGAUGGCCAGCCACACUGGAACUGAGACACGGUCAAGACUCCUACGGGAGGCAGCAGUGGGGAAUAUUGGACAAUGGGCGCAAGCCUGAUACAGCCAUGCCGCGUGUAUGAAGAAGGCCUUCGGGUGGUAAAGUACUUUCAGCGGGGAGGCGUUACCCGCAGAAUAAGCACCGGCUAACUCCGUGCCAGCCGCCGCGGUAAUAC